rnacentral:rRNA from 1 species
GGGGAAUCUUGCGCAAUGGGCGAAAGCCUGACGCAGCGACGCCGCGUGUGGGAAGAAGGCCUUCGGGUUGUAAACCACUUUCAGGAGGGAAGAAGCGAAAGUGACGGUACCUCCAGAAGAAGCCCCGGCCAACUACGUGCCAGCAGCCGCGGUAAUACGUAGGGGGCGAGCGUUGUCCGGAAUCAUUGGGCGUAAAGAGCUCGUAGGCGGCUCAGUAAGUCGGCUGUGAAAUCCCAGGGCUCAACCCUGGAACUGCAGUCGAUACUGCUGUGGCUAGAGUUUGGUAGAGGAGAAUGGAAUUCCCAGUGUAGCGGUGGAAUGCGCAGAUAUCGGGAGGAACACCAGUAGCGAAGGCGGUUCUCUGGGCCAAUACUGACGCUGAGGAGCGAAAGCGUGGGGAGCAA